GUCAACGCCAUUGAGAACUAACGUCUAUACCCUGACAGUUAGGUGAAUUGUAAUAAUGUCAUAGAAGAGUUUAGUGUCGAUGCAGGACUUAAAGCUUUAAGUCCCGCCAUUAUUAUUAUUUAAAUCAUAAAGACGUCAAAUUAGUGAGAGCACCGUUGUCUAUAAUGUCAUAGACGUCAGUUGAAAAGCUUAACCGACAUCUAUAGAACUUUAUACUUAGAACGCGAACCCGCAAGCAGUUACCACUAUUCAUGUCUUCUUCCUCGCGCUUUUCUCUUGCGACAUUGCUUUCCAGUUUGUGGCAUGUUCUUGGGCGACAUUUUUGACCCUUUUGUGGCCUACAUUUCUUGGCGUGCAGUCCUCCAUUUCCCUCCAUUGCUGUUUUAAUCUACUAAAAAGGUAUGUCGACCUCAGACUCAACAUUAGGAUAGAGCAGACGUACACGAGGAGUGACACGUUUGCCAGAAGCGACAUCCGGACAGGUUCCUGGGCAGAGGAGACAUCUUGAGAUUGAUCCCAGAACUGGUGUGGCAUCAGGGCCAAAUGCUGAUAGAUUUAGUAGUUAUCUGGGUAAGAUAGCCAAAACCCAUGUAUCUAUCCUUCAUCCAACUUGGGAUGACGUCCCAGAGGUCGAGAAAAACCUCUUAUGGAAAGAUGUUCAGCUCAAAUAUGAUGUUCCAAACACACUGGACAUGAGGAAGAAAGUCUUAUCACAAAUAUGUAAGAAAUGGAGGGAUUUCAAGACAAGGCUGACACGUCUGUAUGUAUUUGGAAAAAGACAACAUGAGAAUCCAUCUCAGCAUUAUUCCUUAACAGAAGAAGAACGGACGCAAUUUCGUCAAUCUAGAGAAAUUGAGGAAUUGAAGCACAAAAGGUUAACCACCCAAGAAAGGUAAAGGCUAAAUGAUGCACCACAUGUGUUAUCACAAGGUGGUUAUGCGAAACUGGAGAAGAAACUUAGAAAGAGUCGAGCGGAUGAGUUGAGGCUUGAGUCCCCAGACCUAGCUCCACCUACAAGGUACGAGAUGUGGAAGGCUGCUCGGACGAAAUCAGAUGGGAACAUGACAUCUGCCUCAGCCGUAUUGAUCUCAUAGAGAAUUGAUGAGUUGGUGGAGCAACAGACACAGGGAACAUUUACUCCCCAAAGUAGGGAGGACAUAUUAACCAAGACCAUUGGAAAACCGGAGCACCCAGGACGUGUACGUGCAGUUCCUGGGUCGAUUGGUCUUUGUGACUACUUUGGCCCUAUAUAGAAAACAACUCAAUCAACGAAUCAGGAGGCAUUGAGGCAGAUGGAUCUUCAGUGGGAACAAAGAAUUCGUCAAAUGGAGCAACUAUUCAAUGAGCAGCUAGAAGAACAAAAACAAAUACAAAGAGUGCUUGAAGAGAAGCUGCAAUCCAUGACGUAGGGAACCCUGGGUGUGCCCACUAAAACUCCCACACCACCUCCUGCCAACACCAAAGGAUCCUGCUCUACUGUUGAACCUACUGACUUCAUUGGUUAGUAUGACUUGUUGGUUGAUGGGGAUCCCGCACGCAUUGUGACUGUCAGAUGAGUAGUUGAGGGAGGCUAGACUAUUCAUGGUGUUCCCAUAUCACCCCAGCACGUGCGUGUCAUGAUUGACGAGGGUCAGGAUCCCCAGGCUCAGGUGCCUGUACCCACUCUAGAAGUUCAAUUUGUGGGGGAGGCCAUACGAAGUUUUUUAGCCUGGCCUAGAACAUUGGUUAUCACACACAUUACUACACAACAUGUAUAAUAUUUUUAUCAUUACUAAUUAUAUAUUAUCAUUUAAAAAUAUUUGUUCAUAACUUUGAAAAUGUUAUUUCAGUUCACAUGUCCUCAAUAGCAGCCGAUGCAUGACGCACCAAUACCUGAAUAUGAUGAUGGUGAUGACAUGGCUGAAGCGGAGAAUGAUCCCAUAGCAAAACUAUUGUCAAACAUUCCCAGGUUCAACAAAGGAUCAAGACAAAUAUACUGGGAUUUAAUAGUAUUUGAUCUCCCCCCCCUCCAUAUGCCAGUAUAUAUCACAUUCAAUGAUGUAUCGGAGAUCAUUGC